GAUGAACGCUGGCGGCGUGCCUAAUACAUGCAAGUCGAGCGAACAGACGAGGAGCUUUCUCCUCUGACGUUAGCGGCGGACGGGUGAGUAACACGUGGAGAACCUACCUAUAAGACUGGGAUAACUUCGGGAAACCGGAGCUAAUACCGGAUAAUAUAUUGAACCGCAUGGUUCAAUAGUGAAAGACGGUUUUGCUGUUACUUAUAGAUGGAUCCGCGCCGCAUUAGCUAGUUGGUAAGGUAACGGCUUACCAAGGCAACGAGGCGUAGCCGACCGGAGAGGGUGAUCGGGCACACUGGAACAGAGACACGGUCCAGACUCCUACGGGAGGCAGAAGUGGGGAAUCUUCCGCAAUAGGCGCAAACCUGACGGGGAGACGCCGCGUGAGUGAGGAAGGUCUUCGGAUCGUAAAACUCUGUUAUGAGGGAAAAACAAAUGUGUAAGUUACUGUGCGCGUCUUGACGGUACCUAAUCAGAAAGCCACGGCUAACUACGUG
rnacentral:rRNA from 1 species